ACUCUGUCAGAGCACUUUGAAAAAGUGGUCCUGUGGUAUCUGGCUCUCGAGAUUCGGAAGACGAUGCCUCUUCGAUUUUUGAGAAAGCAAUCAUGCUGGGGGUCUGGCUCUCGAGAUUCGUAGAGCAGUGUCUCUUCGAUUUUUGAGGAAGUAAUCAUGUUGGGAGUCUGGCUCUCGAGAUUCGGAGGGCGGUGCCUUUUCGAUUUUGGAUCAAGCAAUCCUGUUGGGAGUGUUGUCUCGAAUGUGAGUAAAGGUUGGACAUGUUUGCUAGUCUACCUUGCCACGAAGCACAAAGGUUGACACACAGAGACUUUCCAAUUAUCCAGCAAUGGUACUGUUCCUUUACCCUCUCUUCGCUUUUGAGAAAAGUAGUCAUGUUGGGAGUCUGGCUCUCGAGAUUCGGAGGACGGUGCCUCUUCGAUUUUGGAGCAAGCAAUCUUGUUGGGAGUGUUUUCUCGAAAGUGAGUAAAGGUUGGGCAUGUUUGCUAGUCUACCUUGCCACGAAGCACAGAGGUUGACACACAGGGACUUUCCAAUUGUCCAGCAGUGGUACUGUUCCUUUACCCUUGUGGGUAAUAAUAUGGUAGCUAGACCUUCAAAAUUUAUGUGUUUAAACUUUGUUAGUGCUGUUUCUUUGCUAUUCUUUUACCUUUCUUGGUCAGAGCGAUGUAGUGGGAGCUGCAAGCUUCACGUGCUUAACUUUGGCAGAGAACUUUGGCAAAGUUAUCUGUGGUACCCAUGAGCUAUUGUUGCGUGUGGGAAGUGGGUGAUUGAACAGUAAGAUUCAUGUGCUUUCUACUCCACCAGAAGUCUUCGACAGAAUGCCCAUAAUUUCUGCAAAGCUGAGUGUGCGUGUGACAGGUGCUGACAAGGCUAGAAAAGUAGGUGUCUCUUCGAUUUCUGAGAUCGGCCCUCGUGGUCUCUGAGCAGCCCAGCUUUUGAGAAAGCGAGCGCCUCUUCGAUUGAUUCGGAGAACGAUGCCUCAUCGAUUUUUGAGAAAGCAAUCAUGCUGGGGGUCUGGCUCUCGAAGAUUCGGGGAGCAGUGUCUCUUCGAUUUUUGAGAAAGUAAUCACGUUGGGAGUCUGGCUCUCGAGAUUCGGAGGGCGGUGCCUCUUCGAUUUUUGGAGCAAGCAAUCUUGUUGGGAGUGUUUUCUCGAAUGUGAGUAAAGGUUGGGCAUGUUUGCUAGUCUACCUUGCCACGAAGCACAGAGGUUGACACACAGGGACUUUCCAAUUAUCCAGCAAUGGUACUGUUCCUUUACCCUCUCUUCGAUUUUUAAGAAAGUAGUCAUGUUGGGAGUCUGGCUCUCGAGAUUCGGAG
rnacentral:lncRNA from 1 species